rnacentral:tRNA from 1 species
GGGCCGGUAGCUCAGCCUGGUUAGAGCACCGGGCUUUUAACCCGGUGGUCGCGGGUUC